GGCUAAAUUGCAUUUUUGGUCCCUUAACUAUUUAAUUAGUAUCGGUUUAGUCCCCUAACUAAAAUUUGAUUUAUUUGGUCCCUUAAAUUUCUCUCUGUUACUACUUUUAGUCCUUUCCGUUAAUUUUAUUAAUAAAAAGUUAGGGUUUAUACAAUCAUCAUCUGCAUUCAACUUCUUCAUCAUCUUCCCCAUCCACCUUCAUCAACCUUAUAAAAAAAAACUCAGCAAAACAAAUCAACAUCUCUUCAUCAAUUCUUCAUCAUCAUCAUUUCUUCUUCUACAAAUACAAAUCCAGAAACCCAUUUUUGGAUCCAAUUCAAAAAUUCAAUCUAAUCUAUCAUCAUCACCACCACCAAUCCUUCACAAAAACCCAUUUUCAGAUCUAAACCCAUCAUCAUCAUUCCUUAAAAAAAAAACCAUUUUCGGAUCUAAACUCAUCAUCACCAAUCCUUCAUAAAAAACAAACUCAUUGAAACAAAAUAGCCACGACAAACACAACAAAUCAAAAGGGCACGACACAUUGUUGAUUCAUAGCCUAAGAAAUUCAAUUCGAAAGAAAGGGCAUGCAUCAAUAUGAAAUUGUCGUUUGAAUUAAAGCAAAUAAGUGCAACAACAGUACAAUUAUAAAUAAUGGGAAGGCAACAUGGAAAGAGAUAGAGUUUUAAAGAGAUAUGGUUCUGGAAUUUGUAUGGAAAGAGAUAUGGUUUUGGAAUUUGUAUGGAAAGGAUAUUGGGAAGAAGAUGAGUUAGGUUAUACAUAGAAACAUGAUUUUGUUGUUUAAGGUUUUUGUUAUGAAAUUUGGAUUUUUUGUUGUUUAUGAAGUUCUAGGUUUGUGUAUGAAUUUUAUGAAUUUUUGGGUUUUUCCUUGCUGUUGUUGAUGAUGUUGUACAAACCCUAACGUUUCUUCUAUUAAAACUAACAGAAAGGACGAAAUAUAGUAACGGUGAUAAACUUAGAGGACCAAAAUAAAUCAAUUUUUAGUUAGAGGACCAAACCGAUACCAAUUAAAUAGUUAGAGGACCAAAAAGGUAAUUAAGCCAAAAGUAUAUAAUAUAUAAUCAAAUCAAGUACAAACGUAUGACUUGGAGAGCAUGUCUUAUCCUUUCUUUCUAGUAAUAGUGAUUAUUAAAUUCUGCCUUUUCAAAAGAAUUUGAAAGUUUAAAUCAAUGUUUUAAAA
rnacentral:lncRNA from 1 species